rnacentral:misc_RNA from 1 species
AAGUCGUAACAAGGUUUCCGUAGGUGAACCUGCGGAAGGAUCAUUAACUAAACCGUACGCGGCGCUCCCCUUAGCCGGGGGGUGUCGCAGACCGUUCAAACCCUCCGUGUACCAAUACCUCUGUUGCUUCCCGCUCGAGCUUCGGCCCGCGGCGGGGAGGUCUACCUAAACUCUUUUGUCUCAAUGCAGUCUGUAGAUGGCGGCUAGUCCGCGAAAAUUUAAAAGUUAAAACUUUCAACAACGGAUCUCUUGGUUCUC